CUGGGGAUAAUUCGGGAUAACGCAUAUGUGCUGGAAUGCUUUAUGCGUAAAAAGGAUUCGUCCGCCCAAGGAUGGGUCUGCGGCCUAUCAGGUAGUAGUGGGUGUAAUGUACCUACUAGCCGACAACGGGUACGGGUUGUGAGAGCAAAAGCCCGGAGAUGGAUUCUGAGACAUGAAUCCAGGCCCUACGGGGCGCAGCAGGCGCGAAAACUUUACAAUGCGGGAAACCGUGAUAAGGGGACACCGAGUGUCAGCAUCAUAUGCUGGCUGUCCAGGUGUGUAAAAUACACCUGUUAGCAA
rnacentral:rRNA from 1 species